GCUGGGCGCAGUGGCGCACGCCUGUAAUCCCAGCAGCUGGGAAGGCUGAGACAGGAGGAUCACGAGUUCAAAGCCAGCCUCAGCCACAGUGAGGUGCUAAGCAACAUAUUGAGACCCUGUCUCUA
rnacentral:sRNA from 1 species